ACACAUGCAAGUCGAGGGGCAGCAUGAUUGAAGCUUGCUUCAAUCGAUGGCGACCGGCGCACGGGUGAGUAACACGUAUCCAACCUGCCGAUAACUCGGGGAUAGCCUUUCGAAAGAAAGAUUAAUACCCGAUAGUAUAGUAUUUCCGCAUGGUUUCACUAUUAAAGAAUUUCGGUUAUUGAUGGGGAUGCGUUCCAUUAGAUAGUUGGCGGGGUAACGGCCCACCAAGUCAACGAUGGAUAGGGGUUCUGAGAGGAAGGUCCCCCACAUUGGAACUGAGACACGGUCCAAACUCCUACGGGAGGCAGCAGUGAGGAAUACUGGUCAAUGGACGAGAGUCUGAACCAGCCAAGUAGCGUGAAGGAUGACUGCCCUAUGGGUUGUAAACUUCUUUUAUACGGGAAUAAAGUGGAGUAUGCAUACUCCUUUGUAUGUACCGUAUGAAUAAGGAUCGGCUAACUCCGUGCCAGCAGCCGCGGUAAUACGGAGGAUCCGAGCGUUAUCCGGAUUUAUUGGGUUUAAAGGGAGCGUAGGCGGGUGCUUAAGUCAGUUGUGAAAGUUUGCGGCUCAACCGUAAAAUUGCAGUUGAUACUGGGUACCUUGAGUGCAGCAUAGGUAGGCGGAAUUCGUGGUGUAGCGGUGAAAUGCUUAGAUAUCACGAAGAACUCCGAUUGCGAAGGCAGCUUACUGGACUGUAACUGACGCUGAUGCUCGAAAGUGUGGGUAUCAAACAGGAUUAGAUACCCUGGUAGUCCACACAGUAAACGAUGAAUACUCGCUGUUGGCGAUACACAGUCAGCGGCCAAGCGAAAGCAUUAAGUAUUCCACCUGGGGAGUACGCCGGCAACGGUGAAACUCAAAGGAAUUGACGGGGGCCCGCACAAGCGGAGGAACAUGUGG
rnacentral:rRNA from 1 species